rnacentral:rRNA from 1 species
UACGUAGGGUGCAAGCGUUGUCCGGAAUUAUUGGGCGUAAAGAGCUCGUAGGCGGCCUGUUGCGUCCGCUGUGAAAGCCCGGGGCUUAACCCCCGGGUCGGCAGUGGAUACGGGCAGGCUAGAGGUAGGUAGGGGAGAAUGGAAUUCCCGGUGUAGCGGUGAAAUGCGCAGAUAUCGGGAGGAACACCGGUGGCGAAGGCGGUUCUCUGGGCCUUACCUGACGCUGAGGAGCGAAAGCGUGGGGAGCGAACAGG